rnacentral:lncRNA from 10 species
GCUUUAUUGCUCACACAAAGCCUGUUUGGUGAUCUCUUCACACGGACAUGUGUGAAAGGAGGUAGAAGCAAAUCAUAAGUAAAUGGCAUCUCGGGAGCCAGGGGAAGAAAGUAUUUCAAGACGAUGUGGUCAACCCAGUUGACUACUGCUGAGAAAUGGAAUAAGAAGUAAACUAAACAGAAAAGUACUCAUUGAAUUUGGCAACCUCUUGCUGGAUUCCCACCUGAAUAGAACUGAGAGCGGUCGCUGGAGGCGCUGCUCAGUCAUUGGGGCAACUACUUUUCACCCAGUGUCCUCUGGAAAAGAAGCAUCUGGAGGGUCAGGCCACUCUUUUUCUUCAAAAUAAGGAUGGAGUGCAGAAGGGUAAGGAUGAACCUCUCCCUCCUUUGCCGCUUUAGCUUUAGCUGGCAAACAAACCUGCUCUGUAACCUCUUCUGUUACUUCGUUAUACUCCCCUUCCUCCUCAUCAUCAGUGUGAAAAGGUUCCAAGGUGGAAUGAACCAGAGUCCACCCUUGUCCCAUUGUUACCUUGAUGCCUCCGAGCUCCCCUUCUUACUGACCAUGGGGACUGCUUUAAGAGUACUCGGGUGUCCUCCAGCUUAGUUCCACGUUCUCCAACUGUCGCUCUGGUGAUCCUUCGACCUGGAUUCGAGCCCCCACGUAUGGGCGCUGCUUGCCGAGACCAGCUUGGUCAGGGAGACACUAACCCAGUGGUGCUAGAGGAAUUAAAGACACACGCACAGAAAUAUAGAGGUGUGGAGUGG